AAUAAGUUGGUUUAUACAAGAUGGACGAUGAUCAACUAUUUAUCUUCAUUGCUUUAUUCUUUUUGUCCUAGGUUCAAAGUGCAAUUGAUGGAUUUCGAGAAAAUGCAAGCAUCCAAAUUUUGCGUGUAUGAUUUUCUUCUUCUGUGUCAUUUGCAAUUGAAAAUGCAAACUCUGGAAGCAAGAAUCUCCUCUCAUCCAUUGAUCGUAAGUUUUCUAGUUUUUUUAAUGCGUGUUUUCAGUUUAAUCUUGGUAUAUAAUCUUUGUUCCAUUUAUGGUGUGCGCGGAAGAGAGAAUAGGAUCAACAGGACAAAAUUAAACUGUAUCUAACUAAGAAAGCCAUGCUGGUUCCUUACAACUUGACCAUGAGGCAUAUAGGAAUCUUUGUUCGAUGAUUGUUACUUGUUGUGGAGAAUUGAGGGAACUGAAGAGUGGACACUACUGCAAAAUUGUGGAAAUCACAGAAAAUGCAGGAAAAUGCCUUAUAGAAGAAUACGUGGUAAGAAAAUUGAAUGUGUGCAUCAAUAUGAGACUAGAUGUUUGUCACUUGGUAUUUAUUUUAAAAAGAUACUUCAGGAUCAAUACGUUUUUCUCUUUAUUUUUGGUUCCAGAACUCCUCAACCUCACCGACUAAAAUAAAGCAUAAGGCAUGCAACAAUUUGACAUCUACUGACCCUGUUACAAGCUGCAAAAUUGGUCCAAAUGCUUGCUUGCCGAUAAAAAAACGUUGUCUACACCUUUAAUUCCAUUUUUUGGUCGAAUAUUUUGUACUAUUUUAGUAAGUUAUUUUUGGAGUAGUAAUCGAUACUUUUGGCACAUUGAUAUCAACCUUUUGAAUAUGCUGAUGAUGUUCUUAGUCAUUUAGAUUAACUCUACAUUUCAGUAUAUUGUAUUUGGUCAUACUUAAUACUUUUAUUUAUUGGAAUUAUGGAAAACAUGAUU
rnacentral:lncRNA from 1 species